AUUGGACGCUGGCGGCAGGCUUAACACAUGCAAGUCGAGCGGGGUGAUGGUGCUUGCACUAUCACUUAGCGGCGGACGGGUGAGUAAUGCUUAGGAAUCUGCCUAUUAGUGGGGGACAACAUCUCGAAAGGGAUGCUAAUACCGCAUACGUCCUACGGGAGAAAGCAGGGGAUCACUUGUGACCUUGCGCUAAUAGAUGAGCCUAAGUCGGAUUAGCUAGUGUGGUGGGGUAAAGGCCUACCAAGGCGACGAUCUGUAGCGGGUCUGAGAGGAUGAACCGCCAAACUGGGACUGAGACACGGCCCAGAUUCCUACGGGAGACAGCAGUGGGGAAUAUUGGACAAUGGGGGGAACCCUGAUCCAGCCAUGCCGCGUGUGUGAAGAAGGCCUUAUGGUUGUAAAGCACUUUAAGCGAGGAGGAGGCUCUUUUGGUUAAUACCCAAGAUGAGUGGACGUUACUCGCAGAAUAAGCACCGGCUAACUCUGUGCCAGCAGCCGCCGUAA
rnacentral:rRNA from 1 species